GCUGGCAUGGCUCAGUGGUUGAGCGUCGACCUAUAAACCAGGAGGUCAGGGUUCGAUUCCCAGUCCUGGCA
rnacentral:tRNA from 1 species